UGGGGAAUUUUGGACAAUGGGCGAAAGCCUGAUCCAGCAAUGCCGCGUGUGUGAAGAAGGCCUUCGGGUUGUAAAGCACUUUUGUCCGGAAAGAAAUCCUUGGCUCUAAUACAGUCGGGGGAUGACGGUACCGGAAGAAUAAGCACCGGCUAACUACGUGCCAGCAGCCGCGGUAAUACGUAGGGUGCAAGCGUUAAUCGGAAUUACUGGGCGUAAAGCGUGCGCAGGCGGUUUGCUAAGACCGAUGUGAAAUCCCCGGGCUCAACCUGGGAACUGCAUUGGUGACUGGCAGGCUAGAGUAUGGCAGAGGGGGGUAGAAUUCCACGUGUAGCAGUGAAAUGCGUAGAGAUGUGGAGGAAUACCGAUGGCGAAGGCAGCCCUGGGCCCAAUGCACUGGACGCUCAUGCACGAAAGCGUGGGGAGCAAACAGGAUUAGAUACCCUGGUAGUCCACGCCCUAAACGAUGUCAACUAGUUGUUGGGGAUUCAUUUCCUUAGUAACGUAGCUAACGCGUGAAGUUGACCGCCUGGGGAGUACGGUCGCAAGAUU
rnacentral:rRNA from 1 species